CUGGAUGUAGUGCAGCAGGGAGAUUUUUUCUUGUAGUUUGUUGCCUUUUUAGUGUGAGAGACAAACCUGUUGCAACUGACUGGAAAGUUCCAGAAUGGCCUGGCCCCACUCUGCCUCGGCCUCGGUUGGCCUGACCUGGCCUCCGUUGCUUUUCCAUUACAACAGUCUCCAAUCAAAAGUGAGAGGGACUGGAGCUGGAUCAAGAAGAAGGUUAUGCAUCCAGGAGACGUUUGACUCCCAUUCCAGUACGCAGUGCAAACAAAAAAGGUUGUGCUUCGAGCAGAAGUAGGGACUGGUUUCAAGGACAAUGACAACCACACAAGAUCCCAUUCACCACCACCAAAGAAUAAAAUCCAGAUGUGGAUAAAACAUUGCUAGAUUUUAUGCGCAAGGUAAUAAAAGCCUGGACUAUUGAGCAAACAGUAGGAGGAGGAGAAUUAGGAGGAAGAAAUUGCAAGGUUGUUCAUGCAUUUUUGUCCAAUGUAAAUUCUGUACAUGGUUAUAUGUCAAAAGAACUUUCUCAGUGUUGUUUUAUGUUCAGAUGUUUGAGAUUUUCACUAAAGAAAAAAAAAAUAAUGGUGUCAAAGUCAUUGUUUUGCUUGAUCUGUCUGCUUUCACAAAAAUGCUGUUUUCUCAGGUUUUUUUUCCUCCAGAAACUGAAAGUAGCCUAUAUUUGACUGAUGAUUACUAAAGAACGGUAUAAGGUAGAGAUUUUUCUGAUGAAAGAAGAGAGUCUGAUCUUUCUUUUGGUGGUUUUGGUGUUUACAUAGUCAUCGUACA